rnacentral:rRNA from 1 species
UGGGGAAUAUUGCACAAUGGAGGGAACUCUGAUGCAGCGACGCCGCGUGAACGAAGAAGGCUUUCGAGUCGUAAAGUUCUUUUAUAUGGGAAGAUAAUGACGGUACCAUAAGAAAAAGCCCCGGCUAACUACGUGCCAGCAGCCGCGGUAAUACGUAGGGGGCUAGCGUUGUCCGGAAUCACUGGGCGCAAAGGGUUCGCAGGCGGAAAUGCAAGUCAGGUGUAAAAGGCAGUAGCUUAACUACUGUAAGCAUUUGAAACUGCAUAUCUUGAGAAGAGUAGAGGUAAGUGGAAUUUUUAGUGUAGCGGUGAAAUGCGUAGAUAUUAAAAAGAAUACCGGUGGCGAAGGCGGCUUACUGGGCUCAUUCUGACGCUGAGGAACGAAAGCGUGGGUAGCAAACAGG